GACGAAGGUGGCGAGCGUUGUUCGGAAUCACUGGGCAUAAAGCGCACGUAGGCGGCUUAGCAAGUCGGAAGUGAAAUCCCACGGCUCAACCAUGGAAGUGCUUUCGAAACUGCUGAGCUUGAGUACGAAAGAGGAUCGCGGAAUUCCCGGUGUAGAGGUGAAAAUUCGUAGAUAGUCGGGAGGAACACCAGUGGCGAAGGCGGCGAUCUGGGUCGAUACUGACGCUGAGGUGCGAAAGCGUGGGGAGCAAACAGG
rnacentral:rRNA from 1 species